rnacentral:lncRNA from 1 species
GAGGCGGCUGAUCACCAGUUUCAGGUGUUUUCUAUCUAGUGCCUUUCCCUAGCGCUGGCUGCAACCAAUUAUUAUAGUAGCUUAACAACCACCUAACCAUCACCUCAUGGUCGCCUGACAUUCAUGGUGGGGGCGGCCCUUCUCCUGCCCUGCUCGUGUCUGGUGUCUGACUAGCUACCUACUAUAACAAAACCACUCUGCUCUUCUGGAAGUUAUAGUCAAGGGAACCCAGGACCUGACAAGCCUGCAAAAAGGGAAAGAAUUUCUUACCAAUCAGAUUCCUGGGUGUCUAUCUGUGGAAUCUGAUCAAGCAGAAGGACUUCAAAAUCUUCUGAAAUGUACCUUCACAAACCCCUUGGGAGAUUUCAAAGAAACAGUGGCCAGGAUCCAUAAGUUUUGU